rnacentral:rRNA from 1 species
GAUGAACGCUGGCGGCGUGCCUAAUACAUGCAAGUCGAACGCAUAGCGAAAGGUGCUUGCACCUUUCAAGUGAGUGGCGAACGGGUGAGUAACACGUGGACAACCUGCCUCAAGGCUGGGGAUAACAUUUGGAAACAGAUGCUAAUACCGAAUAAAACUUAGUGUCGCAUGACACAAAGUUAAAAGGCGCUUCGGCGUCACCUAGAGAUGGAUCCGCGGUGCAUUAGUUAGUUGGUGGGGUAAAGGCCUACCAAGACAAUGAUGCAUAGCCGAGUUGAGAGACUGAUCGGCCACAUUGGGACUGAGACGCGGCCCAAACUCCUACGGGAGGCUGCAGUAGGGAAUCUUCCACAAUGGGCGAAAGCCUGAUGGAGCAACGCCGCGUGUGUGAUGAAGGCUUUCGGGUCGUAAAGCACUGUUGUAUGGGAAGAACAGCUAGAAUAGGAAAUGAUUUUAGUUUGACGGUACCAUACCAGAAAGGGACGGCUAAAUACGUG